GACGAACGCUGGCGGCGUGCUUAACACAUGCAAGUCGAACGAAGUGGCGAACGGGUGAGUAACGCGUAAUCAACCUGCCCUUCAGAGGGGGACAACAGUUGGAAACGACCGCUAAUACCGCAUACUGAAGGAGGGGAUUGCGUCUGAUUAGCUAGUUGGAGGGGUAGCGGCCCACCAAGGCGAUGAUCAGUAGCCGGUCUGGUAGGAUGAACAGCCACAUUGGGACUGGGACACGGCCCAGACGCAUACGGGUGGCAGCAGUGGGGAAUCGUCCGCAAUGGACGAAAGUCUGACGGGGCAACGCCGCGGUAGUGAUGACGGCCUUCGGGUUGUAAGGCUCUGUUAGUCGGUACGCGGUACCGGAAGAGAAAGCCACGGCUAACUACGUGCCAGCAGCCGCGGUAAUUC
rnacentral:rRNA from 1 species